GAGCAGGUCCUGCCAGGCAGCAGAAGCAGCAGCAGAAGCAGCCGGUGCUGGGCUCAAGUUGGCGCGGACCUCGGCGGGGCAGCGCCCGGAGCGCCCCUCGCCUUAACCCGGCUCCUCUGAUGUGACCAUGGCGAUGCCGGCGCCGCUCAUCCCCGCCGCGCAGCCGGCGCCCCCAGCGCCGCCGCCCCCCGCGCCCCCGGCAGCCGCCCCCUCCCCGCCGCCCGCCCCGACCGCUCCGGCCGCCCCCGCCGCCGCCCCCACCACCGUCCCCGGCCUCUUCCGCCCGGAGCCCGGCUCGGCUGUUGCAGCUGCGGCCGCUGCGGCGGCUGUUGCUGCCGCUGCUGCGGCGGCGGCGGCGGCGGCAUCGGCUUCUGGAGGUGCGGAGAACAGUUCGGGUCCCGGUCCGGCUCCGGUUCCCGUUCCGUGUCCGGGCGCGGCAGGCGGCGCCCCGCCGACGCCUUCGGGCAAACCGGUCUACUCGACGCCUUCGCCGGUGGAGAACACGCCGCAGAACAACGAGUGUAAGAUGGUGGAGCUGCGCGGCGCCCAGGUGGCCUCGUUCUCGGUGGAGGGCUGCGAGCUGAUCUGCCUGCCGCAGGCCUUCGACCUCUUCCUCAAGCACCUGGUGGGCGGCUUGCACACGGUCUACACCAAGCUCAAGCGCCUGGAGAUCACGCCGGUGGUCUGCAACGUGGAGCAGGUGCGCAUCCUGCGCGGCUUGGGGGCCAUCCAGCCCGGCGUCAACCGAUGCAAACUCAUCUCCAGGAGGGACUUCGAGACGCUCUACAACGACUGUACCAACGCCAGCUCCAGACCUGGGCGGCCCCCAAAACGGACGCAGAGUGUGACUUCUCCAGAAAAUUCCCAUAUCAUGCCGCAUUCCGUCCCUGGUCUUCUCUCACCGGGAAUUAUCCCACCGACAGGUCUGACAGCUGCGGCUGCUGCUGCGGCCGCGGCCACCAAUGCGGCCAUCGCGGAAGCAAUGAAGGUGAAAAAAAUUAAAUUAGAAGCAAUGUCAAAUUAUCAUCCCAAUAAUAACCAGCACGCAGCAGAGUCUGAAAACGGGGACCUAAAUUCUGCUGUGGGCCUUGAGCUACCUUUCAUGAUGAUGCCCCAUCCGCUUAUUCCGGUCAGCCUGCCCCCAGCAUCCGUCACAAUGGCCAUGAAUCAGAUGAACCACCUUACCACAAUUGCAAACAUGGCCGCCGCAGCACAAGUACAGGGCCCUCCCUCCCGAGUGGAGACAUCUGUGAUUAAGGAACGAGUUCCAGACAGCCCUUCCCCUGCUCCAUCUCUCGAAGACGGUCGAAGGCCUGGUAGCCAUCCAUCCUCACAUCGUAGCAGCAGCGUAUCCAGCUCCCCUGCCCGAACCGAAAGCUCUUCAGACAGAAUCCCAGCUGUCCAUCAGAACGGCCUCUCCAUGAACCAGAUGUUGUUGGGCUUAUCUCCGAACGUUUUACCUGGUCCGAAAGAAGGUGACCUGGCCGGCCACGAGGGUGGGCACGACUCCAAAAGAAUGCACCUGGAGAAAGAUGAGACCCCGCUCUCCACACCAACCACAAGAGACAGCCUUGACAAACUUUCGCUAACUGGCCACGGACAACCUCUUCCUCCCGGGUUCCCGUCUCCUUUUCUAUUUCCUGAUGGAUUGUCCUCCAUAGAAACCCUCCUGACAAAUAUCCAGGGGCUCUUAAAAGUUGCCAUCGACAAUGCACGGGCUCAAGAGAAGCAGGUGCAGCUCGAAAAGACGGAGCUCAAAAUGGAACUCUUUAGGGAAAGAGAACUGAGAGAAACACUUGAAAAACAGUUAGCGGUGGAGCAGAAGAACAGAGCAAUAAUUCAGAAAAGGUUAAAGAAGGAAAAGAAGGCGAAGAGGAAAUUGCAGGAAGCACUUGAAUUCGAAACAAAGCGGCGAGAACAAGCCGAACAGGCGCUAAAGCAAGCAGCUUCCACCGAUAACCUCAGGGUCCUAAAUGAUUCUCUGACCCCAGAGAUAGAAGCUGACCGCAGCGGGGGCCGAACAGAUGCUGAGAGGACAAUACAAGGUAACAUCUGAAGGUAACAACUGCAAAUGAAAAAAAACAAGCUCAGAGAACUCGUACAACCCAGAGCUACCUAUAUGCUUCACAGACCAGAUGGAAGACUUUAUCUGAAAACUACUGUUAUGUACUGAGUUUGUUCAGUCGGAACAAUGUGUGUUACCAAGCCAGAGGACUCUGCAGUAAAACAUCCAGUGUUUCAAAGUUCUGCAAAAGAAAAAUGGGGAAGGUGCUUUGCAGAAAACUUUUAUCACUUCACAUAGCCAUGUGCGGAGAUUUUAAGUGUUUGAUGGGAGCAUCCUCAUUGCAUUGUCCAAGCUCCAUCCUGUGUUACGGAAGACAUUUCUACAAACUUGUGUAGCUUUCUAGUAGCUACCAGGAACUCUGUACUGAGACUCCAGAGCAGAACUCUGUAUUCCCAUUUCAAUGGAAUAAGAACUGUUAUUCUCUUCUGAAUCUUUUAGGCACAUCAAGGAAAUCUUCCACUUCUCAUGUUAAGCACUCUUAUGCCAAACCAGCAAGAUGGUAAAAAAAAAAAAAAUGAAUAUUUCUCAAAUGGACAUCAGAAGAUUCCUAAAAACAAAACAAAAAAACAUAAAACCUGAGGUUAGGAAUACACAAAACAAAAUGUUAUAUACCAUUUUCUUUCUUUCUUUUCUUUUUUGGUCCAAAUUCUGGGAAAUGGGUUCUUUUACACAGUCUUUGCAAGAGACCAAGGCGUACUUUAUAAGAACUUAAACAAAAGAAGUACAGAGUUUGAACAGCAUUAUGUACGAUUUGCAGUAAUCCCAAGACGAAGAAGAAGAAGAAGAAGAAGAAGAAGAAGAAGAAGAAGAAGAAGAAGAAGAAGAAGAGGAAGAGGAAGAGGAAGAGGAAGAGGAAGAGGAAGAGGAAGAGGAAGAGGAAGAGGAAGAGGAAGAGGAAGAGGAAGAGGAAGAAGAAGAAGAAGAAUGCUUAUAAUUUCUCAUGUUAAACUGUCAGUAUAAGAGGGAUGACAAGUUGUUCCUCAUUUCUGAAACUGUUCAGGUGUAUAGUAUAUAACCACAAAAACCACUCACAGAAAAUAUUAUGUAUGCAGUAGUAUACUAGAUUUUAGGAAAACAACAAUUUUAGAGAAUAUGUUUUGUCACCCUGUUGAUCCAAACACCAUCUUCCUAAUUUUUAACGCAUGCAGGCAUGUAAAUAUUUGUCUUGAAGUCACAGUGUUAAUGAAGGGAAUCUUAACCAUCUGGGAGGGGUGAUCACCUUUAUAUGUAUAUGCUGAAAAAAAAAAGGGACACUUUUCCGAGUGAAUUGUGGCCCCAAAUCAAGUCAACUCCCCAGAAAUAUUUUUCUAUAUUAAUGUCAUAUUACUUCAACCUUGCCGGGGAGAAAAAAAUUGUCCCCAAGGCUGUAAAGACAUUUGAUGUAUCAGUCCAAUACCACGUAGAGCUAAGUGAUGAUCUUCAGUCUUUUGUCCUUUUGACCCACCAUUGUAGGCGGUUCCGUGUUAUUUUUAUUGUCUUUAUAAAAAAAAAAAAAAACAGUCUCCUGUUUUUCACCUUUGUGCUCAUAACUGGAAGCGAGUUGAAACCGAGUGUUUUGUACAUCUUAAAUUUUCUCCUUGGCUCGGCCGACUUCUCCAAGUUACCCCUUUAAAGACCACUUGGAAGGAUGCUCCAGGCUUUCUGGAUCUUUAAUGUUUUACGCAGAAAACGCCUUUUCUACGAAUUCAUAAUUGGGAACCUUCAAGUGCUUAAUCAUCUGGAUGACCUACAGCGUGUCCAGAUUUAAAAUCUGCCGGGUAAGGCAAAUUUUUAAGAGGGCUUCUCAAUCUGGAUUUCUGUUCGUUUUGGCAUGCAUCGAGACCACGCCUUCAUUUUACGUCUUAAAAAAAAAACUAUCGUUGAAAACACAAAGCAAAGCCUUCGUUACCUUUGAAGGUUCCUUUUAAAUCAUAAACAGUUAAGAAAAUCUUAAAUAUUUCUUAUCUUUUGAAAGAAAGUUGUGCAGUCUUUAAAGGGUUAACAGUUAUAAUUGGAUGAACUUUUGUGGCAAAUGGCUAAUUCUAUACAAGGGAUUUUUGGUUAUUCACUUCACUGACAAAACAGUGGUUCCAGAAUCUACCAUUCCUCUCGUCCUGGCAAAAAAAAUAAUAAAAUGAAAGCCACCCAUAAGUUGGUGUGAUCAUUUUUACAGUGUAUUCUUUAGAGACACCAUGGGUAUUAAUCAUUGUUUGCUUUGGUACACAAGUCAAUGGAAAUGCUAAAUGAAGAGAAGACGUAUAUCUUGUUAAACCACGUGUAAAUAUUACAGUUCAUGAAAUGCUACCGUAAAAUGAAUUUGGGUUUCUUCUGCCUUUAGUUACUCAAGACCUUUUUUUUUUGUUUUUCUUUUUUCUUUUGCCUAGAAUAUGAAGAAACGUUGUGUUCAUGUUAUUGUUUAAAUGCUUUUUGUACUCUUAAAGAUAUUAAAUGUUCUAGUUGUUCUAUAUUAUAAUCACCUUUUCUGCGUUCUAUGCAACCCUUUGGAACAGAACAUUCUCAUCUUCAUGUAGGACCUAUGAAAAUUGUCUAUUUUUAUCUAUAUAUUUAAAGUUUUCUAAAAAUGAGAAAAAAAGUUAUUAUGAAUUUUGUUGUACAAAAUCUGUACAAAAAAAAAUCUGUUUUUACAUCAUAUUGCAAGAAUUGGAUAAUUUUUCUAUCGUAGUCUAGUUAAUCUGAGCUUGGUUUCAUGUUCAGAGCCACGUUUCCUGCUAUCGUAUUUAAUUUUCCUCUCUCUCUCUCUCUUUUUUUCUCCUCCUCCUCCUUUUCAACAAUCUGCUAAUAAAACUGUCUGAAAUUUG